rnacentral:lncRNA from 1 species
AUCAAAUGAACUUAUGCAUGCUUUUGAUAACUAGUUAUUAUCAGUUAGUAUGAUGUGAUUUGAAUGAAAACAAUUAACAAUUUAAGCAACGGCACAUGCAAUUAAUACCUUUUCUUUCAUGGUCGGAGUGGAAUCUUCAUUGACCUUGCCUAUCUUUCUUUUUGUUUAUUUUUUAAAAAUAAGGGAAAAAAAAAAGAUAAAGCCUACAAUUUCAUUACCAAGAGAUAGCAUAGUUAACAUGCAUUCAGUAAAGUUGGUUUCAUAACACCCAGUCUCAUAAUGUCAUCUAGCACUUGCUCAUAUGGUAUCAUCUGGUCUAAUAAUAAAGUCGUAUUGGGUUUGGAUGUGGCAUUGAAGGGGGAACUAAGAAAAACAUCUAUGCACAAUCAUUUCAUACUCUCUUUUGUCAAAUUUGGUUCCUACCCAAAGACUGAGAAUCAGUCAUGCUCCUAUGCAUUAUUUGAUUUUCAAUUGUCAUUUUCUCACUUGUUUAUCACCCAAAUUCUGCAUGUUAUAUAGAAAGCUUUUUCUAUUUUUAUUAUACAGUCAUAUAAUUACAUUCAAGAAAAAAAAAAACAAUGAAUUGCAGGAAAAAAAAGAGGCACAAAAUUUUUGUCUUCUAAGAGGUAUUUGAUAUUUCUCUCAAACCAUGCAUCCAAGGAUCAUGAAAUUUUGCAAUCAUAUUUUUAGGUAUCAUAAUAAAGGUAUACAAGCACAGAAAAAUGUCAAGAAGACAUUGAUACCAAUGUAAAGGAAAAAUGGAUUUAUAAAAUCAAGAGAAAACUUAAUUGGUUUCGUAUAUACCUCACUCACAUGAAACUAGCUACUUAGGGUCUUCAAAUCGGCUUUUCAUGUUGCUUUAUAUGCCUUUUUAAUAGCUAAUAAACUGCAAAAAUUUGAAUUAACAUCUUGGAAGCAGAACUCCAUUGUGAACCGAAUUGUUCACUUAUGAUGGCGUACAUUACUAAAUUUUUACAUAUAAAUCCACAGCCUAAAAACUUAAGAGCACAAGAGAGAGAGAGAGGGAGAGGGGUCUUCGUUUGAAUAUUUUUGACUCUUGGAUUACAUUUAUCAAGCUUCUAUAAAGCUCGCAAUAAAUGAGCGAUCCUACUAACUCGAUUUAUUAGCCAAUUCAUGGCUUUCAAUUAUCGAACCUUGGCUUUUCAAUUGCCAAAUCAUGUUACCUUUUCACUUGCUUACCCGUUGAGCUUCAAAGCAUGCAAUACAUACUCUAAAAUAAGAGUCAGGCAGCCAAAAAGAUACAGAAUUGCCCUCUUUGGGCAUCCCUGUUUUGAGAAUUAAAUCCCAACGUCUUAACAGAUUUCAUACUAGCUGUAUCAAUUCCUAAUGAAAGACUAAGAACCGGUCAUGCUCUUAUGCAUUAUCUGAUGGUCGAUUAUUGACCCCGUAUAUAUGUAUACAUUCAUCUGUCAAACCAACUUCAACAUUGUUCUAGGCUUGAUACGCCAUAAAAAUCUCUAUACCGUGACAACAACUACAUAUUGACAGACUCCAUUGACUGCCUUGUUCAUUGUGUUUGUGCUUCUCUAGACCCUCAUCUCGACUAGCCAUUUUACCCACGUGGAUAAGGUGUAACUCUGGGUGGCUUAACAUGAACUCAUAUACAAGGAUGCAGCACAUCAAUCCUGCCGAUAAAGCCAGCAAUUUCAAAUACAAACAGGGCAAUAAUAAAUUUGUGAACUCGACUACUGAGGAGUUCCAAGACUUUCAAAAUGAAUUCAAUAUAAUCAAAAUGUAACAACCGUUCCUUCUCGUGUGGAUUGGAGCACUCGUGGUGUAAUGACAGAUGCCAAGGAUCAUGGUUCUAAUUGUAGUAUGUUUCUUUUGGAUCUUAGGAGUAACAACCUUGGACCACAUUACUUGUAAGCAAUAUUCCUAUUCAAAUUGUUAUUCCUUUUAUCCCUUGUAUUUUCACCUGUUUGAUGAAAUUACUCUAGGAUA